rnacentral:lncRNA from 1 species
UUGCGCAGUCGUGUUACCGGUGACACGAGGAAGUGUACCGGUACACUUUGGGCUUGUAACAUAUCAGAUUUUGAUAUAAAAGUGAAAAAUAAAUAAAAAUAGUGUGAGAUGCUAUUUUUAUUGGAUUUAGAGAAGUAAAAUAUAAGUCGGAAACGACUCGUGCUGAAAUCGGAACGAAAAUAGAAGAUUUAGAAUUUUCUGUGAGAAACGGAGCUGAUAUUUUAGCAGAAAAUGUACAGUGUCAGAAAAUUAUGAAAACUGGAGAAUAUGUCGGAAUUAUUUUUAUGAGGCUAGAUUUAAAGUUUUAUGUCAUUCUGACACCCGGAAGGUGGAAAAUAAAAUUCGACUGCUAUCUGCUAGAAAUUACAGUUCGGUGGAGCUUUCGGUGACCAAAAGUGGUCGAAACUGAAAA